rnacentral:rRNA from 1 species
UAUGGUUGUGUGCCAGCAGCCGCGGUAAUACGUAUGGUGCAAGCGUUAUCCGGAUUUACUGGGUGUAAAGGGAGCGCAGGCGGUGCGGCAAGUCUGAUGUGAAAGCCCGGGGCUCAACCCCGGUACUGCAUUGGAAACUGUCGUACUAGAGUGUCGGAGGGGUAAGCGGAAUUCCUAGUGUAGCGGUGAAAUGCGUAGAUAUUAGGAGGAACACCAGUGGCGAAGGCGGCUUACUGGACGAUAACUGACGCUGAGGCUCGAAAGCGUGGGGAGCAAACAGG